GUGGGGAAUAUUGGACAAUGGGCGAAAGCCUGAUCCAGCAAUGCCGCGUGAGUGAUGAAGGCCUUAGGGUUGUAAAGCUCUUUUACCCGAGAUGAUAAUGACAGUAUCGGGAGAAUAAGCUCCGGCUAACUCCGUGCCAGCAGCCGCGGUAAUACGGAGGGAGCUAGCGUUGUUCGGAAUUACUGGGCGUAAAGCGCACGUAGGCGGCUUUUUAAGUCAGGGGUGAAAUCCCGGGGCUCAACCCCGGAACUGCCCUUGAAACUGGGAAGCUAGAAUCUUGGAGAGGCGAGUGGAAUUCCGAGUGUAGAGGUGAAAUUCGUAGAUAUUCGGAAGAACACCAGUGGCGAAGGCGACUCGCUGGACAAGUAUUGACGCUGAGGUGCGAAAGCGUGGGGAGCAAACAGGAUUAGAAACCCUAGUAGUCC
rnacentral:rRNA from 1 species